ACCUGCCGUCUACUCUUGGACAGCCUUCUGAAAGGAAGAUUAAUACAAGAUGGCAUCAUGAGUCCGCAUGUUCACAUGAUUAAAGGUAUUCCGGUAGACGAUGGGGAUGCGUUCCAUUAGAUAGUAGGCGGGGUAACGGCCCACCUAGUCUUCGAUGGAUAGGGGUUCUGAGAGGAAGGUCCCCCACAUUGGAACUGAGACACGGUCCAAACUCCUACGGGAGGCAGCAUG
rnacentral:rRNA from 1 species